rnacentral:rRNA from 1 species
GACGGAGGGUGCAAGCGUUGUUCGGAAUUACUGGGCGUAAAGCGCGGGCAGGUGGCCUUUUAAGUCCUUUGUGAAAUUCCGGAGCUCAACUCCGGAUGUGCAUAGGAUACUGGAAGGCUAGAGACUGGUAGAGGCGAGCGGAAUUCCUGGUGUAGCGGUGGAAUGCGUAGAUAUCAGGAAGAACACCGGUGGCGAAGGCGGCUCGCUGGGCCAGUUCUGACACUCAUCCGCGAAAGCGUGGGGAGCGAACAGG